GAAGAAGAAACAGCAGAAACGCCAGUUAAAAGAAAGUUAGCAGCGCAAUGAUUUUAGUUGGGAAUCGUUUAUGGGACAGAGAUUUUUCUAAUCCAAAUGAGUUAUUCGGUCAUUAGUAAAGCUAUUAGGGUUCCAUCCCGCACAUAGUGUCUCCCACUCCCUCGCACUCUCUGCUGCCUGCAUUCUGUGCCGAGUGCCUUUCACUUGAUACCCUAUACGAGAGAUUUGUUAAUGUGGUACCCUAUUUUUUUGUGGAACUGAAAUGUCCAAAUUUAAGAGGUGUGCGAGUGUGUAAAAAAGCAUUGCCAAGAAAUCAAAGUGAGAGAGUUUGACGACGGCAACGGGGGGAUGAAACCAGGCCGGAUAUAUUAGCCAAGACAGGACAGGGACAGGGACAGCAUCAUCGUUUCAUUUUGCUGCCUGCGUCAAUGACAACAAAUUUCAUAGGAGCACAUUUAUACAUCAAAGAUGACCAUCGAAAGGAGCGAAAAAGAGCGGAUAGGAAAAUUGUCUGCA